rnacentral:misc_RNA from 1 species
UGAGCAACCCUGGUUCACCAUUAUCUGUCAGUGAUUUUUCAAAUCCAUUCUUUAAUCUCCAUGUUUUCACACUCAAGGAGCUAGAAAUGGUAACCCAUCACUUCUCCAAGAGUAACUAUCUCGGUGAAGGUGGAUUUGGAACUGUUUACAAGGGGUUCACGACUGAAAAGCUUAGGCCUGGCUUGAAGGCUCAGCCUGUGGCUGUCAAGGUUCUGGAUUUGAAUGGCUCUCAGGGACAUAGAGAGUGGCUGGCCGAAGUAAUCUUUCUUGGGCAAUUAAAGCAUCCCC